UAAAAAAAGGUAAGCUACUAAGAGCGAAUGGUGGAUGCCUUGACUGGUAAAGGCGAUGAAGGACGUACUAGACUGCGAUAAGCUACGGGGAGCUGUCAAGAAGCUUUGAUCCGUAGAUUUCCGAAUGGGGCAACCCAAUGUAUAGAGAUAUACAUUACCUAUAUAGGAGCGAACGAGGGGAAUUGAAACAUCUUAGUACCCUCAGGAAAAGAAAUCAAUAGAGAUUGCGUCAGUAGCGGCGAGCGAAAGCGCAAGAGGGCAAACCCAGUGCUUGCACUGGGGGUUGUAGGACUGCAAUGUGCAAGAGGUAAGUUUAGCAGAACAUUCUGGAAAGUAUAACCAUAGAGGGUGAUAGUCCCGUAUGCGAAAAACAAACCUUAGCUAGCAGUAUCCUGAGUAGGGCGGGACACGAGGAAUCCUGUCUGAAUCCGGGUCGACCACGAUCCAACCCUAAAUACUAAUACCAGAUCGAUAGUGCACAAGUACCGUGAGGGAAAGGUGAAAAGAACUGAGGUGAUCAGAGUGAAAUAGAACCUGAAACCAUUUGCUUACAAUCAUUCAGAGCCCUAUGUAGCAAUACAGGGUGAUGGACUGCCUUUUGCAUAAUGAGCCUGCGAGUUGUGGUGUCUGGCAAGGUUAAGCAAACGCGAAGCCGUAGCGAAAGCGAGUCUGAAUAGGGCGCUUAGUCAGAUGCUGCAGACCCGAAACGAAGUGAUCUAUCCAUGAGCAAGUUGAAGCUAGUGUAAGAACUAGUGGAGGACUGAACCCAUAGGCGUUGAAAAGCCCCGGGAUGACUUGUGGAUAGGGGUGAAAGGCCAAUCAAACUUCGUGAUAGCUGGUUCUCUCCGAAAUAUAUUUAGGUAUAGCGUUGUGUCGUAAUAUAAGGGGGUAGAGCACUGAAUGGGCUAGGGCAUACACCAAUGUACCAAACCCUAUCAAACUCCGAAUACCUUAUAUGUAAUCACAGCAGUCAGGCGGCGAGUGAUAAAAUCCGUCGUCAAGAGGGAAACAACCCAGACUACCAGCUAAGGUCCCUAAAUCUUACUUAAGUGGAAAACGAUGUGAAGUUACUUAAACAACCAGGAGGUUGGCUUAGAAGCAGCCAUCCUUUAAAGAAAGCGUAAUAGCUCACUGGUCUAGUGAUUUUGCGCGGAAAAUAUAACGGGGCUAAAGUAAGUACCGAAGCUGUAGACUUGCACACAACUUAGAUUAUUUAAGUUUAGAAUAUGAGAAACUAAGUUAUAUGUUUAGUUAUAUUUUUACUGAUUUUUAUAGAGUAAAGAUAGAAAUAAAACUUAGUAAAAUCAGUAAAAAUAUUCUUAGACUAAAGUUAAGUAGUUUAAGUUGUGUGCAAGUGGUAGGAGAGCGUUCUAUUUGCGUCGAAGGUAUACCGGUAAGGAGUGCUGGAGCGAAUAGAAGUGAGCAUGCAGGCAUGAGUAGCGAUAAUUAAUGUGAGAAUCAUUAACGCCGUAAACCCAAGGUUUCCUACGCGAUGCUCGUCAUCGUAGGGUUAGUCGGGUCCUAAGUCGAGUCCGAAAGGGGUAGACGAUGGCAAAUUGGUUAAUAUUCCAAUACCAACAUUAGUGUGCGAUGGAAGGACGCUUAGGGCUAAGGGGGCUAGCGGAUGGAAGUGCUAGUCUAAGGUCGUAGGAGGUUAUACAGGCAAAUCCGUAUAACAAUACUCCGAGAACUGAAA
rnacentral:rRNA from 1 species